rnacentral:rRNA from 1 species
AACGUAGGAGGCGAGCGUUAUUCGGAUUUACUGGGCGUAAAGCGCGUGCAGGCGGCUCGGCAAGUUGGAUGUGAAAGCUCCCGGCUUAACUGGGAGAGGUCGUUCAAAACUACCGGGCUUGAGAGUGUGAGAGGGAGGUGGAAUUCCGGGUGUAGUGGUGAAAUGCGUAGAUAUCCGGAGGAACACCAGUGGCGAAAGCGGCCUCCUGGCACACUUCUGACGCUCAGACGCGAAAGCUAGGGUAG